AUUUGUGGAUGCAAGCUAUUCAGAACAUUUUUAACAGCUUUGAGAAAAGUGAAUUUGCACUUAUUUAAUUUUAAGCUAAAAAAAAAUAUCAAGCUACUAAUUAUAAAACGAUCCCAAAACUUGCACACACCAGUCAGUAACUUUACCAACUUGUUGACGGUGUCUUUUUGGCCAAGUUUUGCGUUCUGCCACCUGAGUUUUAUGUUUCCCUUUUACAUAAAUAAAAACAUUUCCACCAUAAAUGAUCUAUUAUCUCGUUGCAGUACAUAAUUGCAAGUUAUCUAUAAAAAUAUAAGCUUAAACAGACCCCUCUGACACCGUCUGUGUGUUUAUCUGCUUGCAUAUCCUUGUCACCUUUUUUACCCCUGACCAGUUUGCAUGACUGCAUAAAGGUGGAUAAAGGAAAAUCCAGGCUUAUUUUGUUAAAACUAGCUAAUUUGAGUGCGUGAUCCAUUCCAGUACUGUGGCUUAUCUACCACCUCUAUAUAGACGUGGAUGUAAAGAGUGCUGGAUUUACUUUAAACCAGCAUUGCAAAUGUUUUAUGAUGAAGGUAAUGUAUUCAGCACAUUUGUUGGAGCUCAUUGUGUUUAGGUGAAUUUACACUGAAUGUAAACACAACUUGUGUUUAGUUAUAGGAAAACUCCACAGGGCCCGUUUAAGUUCAGUGUCCACUUUUUGGUAUCUUGAGGAUAUGAAGCGUCUCCGAGUCCUGUUAGGGCCUCCAGGCUGCGCCCAAAUGCGCGCAUUUACGACCAUUUUUUAAGAUGUGCGAGUAAUUUUUACAACUAUUCGCACAUGUGUAGUAUAUGUGUAUAUUAACAAAAAAAAUAAUCCAACCAAUCAGGCCUCAAACAACAAGGCUAAGUCCUUUCAAAAGCAAAAAUGUAUGUUGAUAUGUUAUGAUGAUAUUGAUGCAUAGCAACAAGCAGGGACUGAUUACAACCAAGCACGAUAGCCCAUUUCGCUUGUAGAUUGAACACAUUCUACACCAGUCCUGACUGUUCUUGUGGGAUUGAGACGGUGAAAUAUUUGACCACAGUGUACCCCAAACUGAUAAUAUCUGAAAAUGAAGACCUUUAUUGCAGUGUCAGGAGAAUUGCCAUGCAUUGCAUAUAAUUAGGGCCUAGGGUCAGAGUUCUGACUGAUGAGUAGACUUUAAUGAUGGUUAUCCUCAACUUGUGUUUCCUGCCCAGCAUUACCGGCCGCAGAUGUUCCUCGACAACCUGACGAGCAGCAUGCAGAGUGCAGCGGCAGCCAGCACCAGCUCAGCCCUGGUCUCCUCCUCCAGCAGCCACUACGACACCAGCACACACGCUGCCGGCUCUAUCCACGAGACCCGGGUCAUCACAGGAGGAGGGGGGGGAGCUGGAGGAGGGACUGACGGUGGCAUAUCGGAUGUCAUUUCACUAGACUGAGCCACAUCUCACUGGACCUGUUAAGGCCUGUUUUCUGUGGCCUUUUUAGUCUAGACUACAUGACGUGUUUAGUUUUACACAAAACACCCAAAUUGGUAUACAUGAGCACUUUGUGGCUGGAACAUUUUUAUAAUAUUAAAAACUAUCCAGGCAUGUUUUCUUUUUGCCUUUAGGUUUUUAUUUGCAAAUGGGCUUUUCAUCCUGUCUGCUAUGGCUGGAUGAUGGAUCGUUUGAUGGCCGAGGACAACGUGUAUCAGUGAAUUGGUUCUUUUAUUCUCUUGACUUCAUCAUUUGGGAAAUAUUAUUGUUAGCUGUUACACCCUAAAUCACACAUCAGUAUUCCCUGGUGUUUCAGCCUUGCGUUAGUCUGCCACCUCUUUAGGAAAAGAAUCUGGCUUGCUAGACGUUUCACUCUUCACCAGCCCCUCACUGACUUCAGCUCUGUGCCUGAGCAUGUACUCAGUUGAAUCAGUGGAACUGUCGACCCUUUCACAUUACAGUCACUUAUUCAGUCUUCAUAUCAAAAUAUAGCAUAGGAUCUUGCAUUAUCAUUUUGACCUGAGCAGUUAGUCUUUUGGCCAUCCAUAUGUGUAUAAAUAUUUUAAUAACCCUUCCACCCUUAGCUCUGCAGUGGUUUUCCUGGCUGAAAGAUACAUGUCAUGUAAUACUUUCCCCCCAGUUUCUCCAGUGAAAAUACAUUGAACUCUUCAUUAAUACCAAUUUGUUUGCUGACUUCAGCCUGUUCUGGCCAGGUUGACAUGAAUUGUGUGCCUCACUAGCAUGGAACAGGGUCAGGAUGAAUAGAAGGAGAGCUUGGACUCACUGCUUUCAGCAAGACUUUUUACAUAACAUCCAUGCAAGUGAAUGAAGCGUUGGAAGUAGGAAGCCCCUCUGUAAAAAGACUGAAACACAUUGUUGACUGCCUGUGUUUGUCCUCGUCACACGGUGGACGGGCUUUUUUGUCUGUUUUUACUGUAUCUCUGCUGGCUUUCUACAGCUGCGUUUUGUCAACCAUUCACACUAAUGGAAACAUGCGAGGCAGAGAAACUAAGAACCACAGUUUGUGGUUUUAGGAGGCAUCGUGUGCUGCCCCAGGCCAGCAGGUUCUCCUGGCUUCCGGUCUUUGUGUUAGGCUAGGCUGACCACGUCCUGCUCCAGCUAUGUGCUGAACACAGACGUGGGAUUGAUCUUCUCAUCUCUCUGAAAGAAAGUCAAGUGUAUUCCCAAAAUGUUGAACAGUUCUUUUUUUAAAUGCUGUCACAAAUGUGUGCGUCAGCUUUGAAUAGCAUGAGACGGUUCAGUGGAUUCCGAGAUGAUCUGAGGAAAUCUGAAUACAGAUUCCUCUUCAGUUAAUUUUUUAAAAGUCCAGUCUGUAAUUCUUAACUCUGACCCCUAUCUUUGAUUUUGGUGUAUGUUGAUGAUGCUGCAUGUUGGGAUGGAUGGAUGUGACACGGACAUUUGCUCAGUAUUAACACCUACACAUAAGCCCACUUUCUCACAGUUGACAGAAAGCAGCAACAUAAAGAACAAUAAACAGGGCAGCUACUGUAUUUCCUACCUGUGGCUUGCUUAUCAUCUGGAUUAGCUACUUCUUUGGAUUGCUUGCUGUGUAUGUGGACUCGCAGCCAUCAGGAGCUCAAUCUCAGGGACCUACACUCCACUUUCUGGGCUUGAUGGACCGAGUGAAUGAAUACAUCACAUAGAAACAACACUGUCAGCAUCAGUAACUGAAAUACAGGUGUUGAUGUGAAAGUUAGGCUAAUGUAUGUUUUAGGCCUGUGUCUCUUUUAUUAUAACCUGCCAAUGACUGUUGGCAGGUUCAAGUUUACAUGUUAAAGACUGUGAUAAGAAUCAGUUCCCAGUGACAUUAAAAACUCCCUUAGCUGUAGUGAUUUAUGUGAACAGGUUGUGAGAUACCUCUCUGAGAUUCAAGUCUCCACAGAAUUUAAUUUGUGAAUUGAAAAAUGACAUUUAAAAUAUUGAACAGAACUGUUUCCCUGUUACUCUGGAGAAUUCAGACUAGAGACAGUCAUGACUGGAACGCUAUGAGAACCUUUAGCAGAGUUGUUGCCUUCAUUGUGUUGGCUGGAGGCAGGAAUCUUAGACGGAUGUCUCCAAACCUGGAUAAAUGAAACCUAAAUGAUCUGCUGCAGGUUGGUGAGAUGUGGGGAACCCAUCCUUGCUAAGGUUAGCAUAAGUAAAAGUGAAAAUCUGCUACAUCAACAAUACUGUCACAUCAUUUCCCACCAUUACAGCCCUUUGACUCACAUUAGUGUUGCGUAGGGGUCACUGUGACUUUGUGGAUUUACUGAUCAGACUUUUCACAGCGUCUGUUCGCCUGCAGGCAGAUGUUUCUGAUGUGGCUCCAUGGGAUUUCAUGUCAUGUUUUUUAUUUCUUAUUUUGUACUCAUAUUUUACAGACUUUGAAACUUAGUUCAGAUCACCUGGACAUUUCUCUCUCGACACCACGUUAACAGACUCGGAGAAAAGUACACAUUUUUGUUCGCCUUUUACGAGGUUAAUUACAGGAUGCUUUGUCACAAGUGUCAUUUCCUGUAUCUGUAAACUUGCAGCAUUUUGAAUUAUGGUACCAUGUGUGGGUGUUUUUAUUAUUAAACAUUUUCUUUUUUUAUCAUAAA